AUGAACGCUAGCGGCAGGCUUAAUACAUGCCAGUCGGGGGGCAGCAUGAAGUAGCACUACUUUGAUGGCGACCGGCAAACGGGUGCGGAACCCGUACACAACCUACCUUUAAGUGGGGAAUAGCCCAGAGAAAUUUGGAUUAAUACCCCCUAACACAACUAAGUGGCAUCACUUUGUUGUUAUAGUUUCGGCGCUUAAUGAUGGGUGUGCGUAUGAUUAGAUAGUUGGCGAGGUAACGGCUCACCAAGUGUACGAUCAUUAGCUGAUGUGAGAGCAUGCUCGGCCACACGGGCACUGGGACGCGGACCCGACGCCUACGGGAGGCAGCAGUAAGGAAUAUGGGGCAAUGGACGCAAGUCUGAACCAGCCAUGCCGCGUGAAGGAUUAAGGUCCUCUGGAUUGUAAACUUCUUUUAUAUGGGACGAAAAAAGGUCUCUCUAGACCCCUUGACGGUACCAUAUGAAUAAGCACCGGCUAACUCCGUG
rnacentral:rRNA from 1 species